rnacentral:rRNA from 1 species
UACGAAGGGAGCUAGCGUUGUUCGGAAUCACUGGACGUAAAGCGCACGUAGGCGGAUGUGUCAGUCAGGGGUGAAAUCCCGGAGCUCAACUUCGGAACUGCCUUUGAUACAGCACGUCUUGAGUCCGGAAGAGGUGGGUGGAAUUCCUAGUGUAGAGGUGAAAUUCGUAGAUAUUCGCAAGAACACCAGUGGCGAAGGCGGCUCACUGGCCCGGUACUGACGCUGAGGUGCGAAAGCGUGGGGAGCAAACAGG